GGAGGUAUAGCUCAGUGACAGAGCACUUGCUUAGCAUGUAUGAGGGCCUGGGUUUGAUCCCCAGUGUGACCC
rfam:Ictidomys tridecemlineatus contig111979, whole genome shotgun sequence.